rnacentral:rRNA from 1 species
AUUGAACGCUGGCGGCAGGCUUAACACAUGCAAGUCGAGCGGGGGAAGGUAGCUUGCUACCGGACCUAGCGGCGGACGGGUGAGUAAUGCUUAGGAAUCUGCCUAUUAGUGGGGGACAACAUCUCGAAAGGGAUGCUAAUACCGCAUACGUCCUACGGGAGAAAGCAGGGGAUCUUCGGACCUUGCGCUAAUAGAUGAGCCUAAGUCGGAUUAGCUAGUUGGUGGGGUAAAGACCUACCAAGGCGACGAUCUGUAGCGGGUCUGAGAGGAUGAUCCGCCACACUGGGACUGAGACACGGCCCAGACUCCUACGGGGGGCAGCAGUGGGGAAUAUUGGACAAUGGGGGGAACCCUGAUCCAGCCAUGCCGCGUGUGUGAAGAAGGCCUUAUGGUUGUAAAGCACUUUAAGCGAGGAGGAGGCUACUCUAGUUAAUACCUAGGGAUAGUGGACGUUACUCGCAGAAUAAGCACCGGCUAACUCUGUGCCAGCAGCCGCAGUAAGAC